rnacentral:tRNA from 1 species
GCGUUGGUGGUAUAGGGGUUAGAAUAGUUGCCUUCCAAGCAAUUGACCCGGGUUCGACUCCCGGCCAACGCA